CCUACGGGUGGCAGCAGUGGGGGAUAUUGCACAAUGGGGGGAACCCUGAUGCAGCGACGCCGCGUGGGUGAAGAAGCGCCUCGGCGCGUAAAGCCCUGUCAGCAGGGAAGAAAAUGACGGUACCUGAAGAAGAAGCCCCGGCUAACUACGGGCCAGCAGCCGCGGUAAUACGUAGGGGGCAAGCGUUAUCCGGAUUUACUGGGUGUAAAGGGGGCGCAGACGGCGAUGCAAGCCAGGAGUGAAAGCCCGGGGCCCAACCCCGGGACUGCUCUUGGAACUGGGUGGCUGGAGUGCAGGAGGGGCAGGCGGAAUUCCUGGUGUAGCGGUGAAAUGCGUAGAUAUCACGAAGAACACCGAUUGCGAAGGCAGCCUGCUGGAGCGUAACUGACGCUGAGGCUCGAAAGCGCGGGUAGCAAACAGGAUUAGAUACCCGGGUAGUC
rnacentral:rRNA from 1 species